UCGUCAACGAUGGAGGCACUGUGAAGCUGGACAGGAGACAUGCCUACUACCAUCAAAUACAGGCUCAGCUCCACCUCGUUGAUGUUGACUACUGCGACUUUGUUGUCUGGACUAAAAAUGACCUCUUUGUAGAGAGAAUUGUGCGUGAUGUGGACCUGUGGGACAACAUCAUUCCCAGAGUUGAGCGUUUCUUCAGACUAUGUGUUCUCCCUGAAGUGUUGGGACAGCAACUUACAAGGGGAAAGUUUCAGUUGCAAGAUGAUCAGGAGGGAGAGAAGGCGUGAUUACCAGCACCUGUGGUCUGUCCUGGUCCCGGAAUUUGUGGUUCUCUCCUUGUUGCAUUAUUAUUACGUGCCGUAGUGGGUGCUGGUGUUUGGGUGUGUGUGGGUGUCUUUUUCUCUCUCCCUCUGAUCUCCCCAGGUGCUCCCAAUCUCCAAUCAGCGCCUCCAUAUAGGACAUGAGGAAGGUUGCAGUCGUUCUCCCCUUAUCUUAAGCUUUGUUUGACAAGUUGGCUGGUGAGCCCUUUUUCGUUGUGUUAAUUAAAAGACCACUUUAUGGCGUCAGAGAUCAGUUUCCUCUCCUUUUUCUCUCGGCCGGUUAUGUUGUGUGUCGCUACUUCCCUUUGUACCCCUAUAUUUACAAGGGAACGUAACAUUUGCACAGUGGCAGCUCUUUAACCUGCAUUACAGCACCUUCAUAUUCACUGACCACACUCACUAGAGGAAGUAGGGCUGUGUGAUAUAUUGCUAUUGUAAAAAAGAUGUUUACUGAAAAGAUUAAAUGAUACUAAGACUGAAUAAUA